rnacentral:rRNA from 1 species
UACGUAGGCAGCAAGCGUUGUUCGGAGUUACUGGGCGUAAAGAGUGCGUAGGCGGUGCUCCAAGUCUGUUGUGAAAUCUCCCGGCUUAACUGGGAGGGUGCGGUGGAAACUGGGGUGCUUGAGUGUGGGAGAGGUAAGCGGAAUUCCUGGUGUAGCGGUGAAAUGCGUAGAUAUCAGGAGGAACACCGGUGGUGUAGACGGCUUACUGGACCACGACUGACGCUGAGGCACGAAAGCGUGGGUAGCAAACAGG